ACUAAAAUUAAACCUAAAGGCGCAAUGAAAGUAAAGGUCCGCCUCGCGCGGACCUAGGGAGGAUGGGCCCGUCCAAGUGCGGGCCCCGCACUCCCGGGGCGUCUCGUCCUCAUCGCGAGGAGAGGCGCACCCAGAGCGUACACGCUGGGACCCGAAAGAUGGUGAACUAUGCCUGGUCAGGACGAAGUCAGGGGAAACCCUGAUGGAGGUCCGUAGCGAUUCUGACGUGCAAAUCGAUCGUCGGAACUGGGUAUAGGGGCGAAAGACUAAUCGAACCUUCUAGUAGCUGGUUCCUUCCGA
rnacentral:rRNA from 1 species